rnacentral:rRNA from 1 species
CAGCAGCCGCGGUAAUACGAAGGGCGCAAGCGUUACUCGGAAUUACUGGGCGUAAAGCGUGCGUAGGUGGUUGUUUAAGUCUGCUGUGAAAGCCCUGGGCUCAACCUGGGAAUUGCAGUGGAUACUGGGCAACUAGAGUAAGGUAGAGGAUAGUGGAAUUUCCGGUGUAGCAGUGAAAUGCGUAGAGAUCGGAAGGAACAUCUGUGGCGAAGGCGACUAUCUGGGCCAUUACUGACACUGAGGCACGAAAGCGUGGGGAGCAAACAGGAUUAGAUACCCGUGUAGUCCCUGUCUCUUAUAC